rnacentral:rRNA from 1 species
GACGGAGGAUGCAAGUGUUAUCCGGAAUCACUGGGCGUAAAGCGUCUGUAGGUGGUCAAAUAAGUCAACUGUUAAAUCUUGAGGCUCAACCUCAAAAUCGCAGUCGAAACUAUUAGACUAGAGUGAUAGUAGGGGUAAAGGGAAUUUCCAGUGGAGCGGUGAAAUGCGUAGAGAUUAGGAAAGAACACCGAUGGGCGAAGGCACUUUACUGGGCUAUUACUAA